rnacentral:rRNA from 1 species
CUGGGCGUAAGUGUUGCGUAGGCUGAUUAGCGCAUUUUGCUUAAAAGGCCGUGGCUCAACCACGGUUUUGGGCAAAAUAUGGCUAAUCUUGUAGGAUAGAGAGGGUACUGGAACAGAUCAUGUAGCAGUGAAAUGCGUUGAUAUGAUCUGGAACACCGAAGGCGUAGGCAGGUACCUGGCUAUCUCUAGACGCUGAGGCACGAAAGCUUGGGGAGCGAAGCAGAUUAGAGACCUGCGUAGUCCAAGCCGUAAACGAUGGAUGCUAGAUGGAAGGAGUUUUCUUUCUGUCGCAAGGUAACCCGUUAAGCAUCCCGCCUGGGGAGUACGAGCGCAAGCUUAAAACUCAAAGGAAUUGACGGGGAGGCGCACAAGCAGUGGAGCGUGUUGUUUAAUUCGAUACAAAGCGAAAAACCUCACCAGGGUUUGACAUGCAGAUGCUAAUCCGGCGAAAGCCGGACUCCUUCGAGGGUUCUACACAGAUGCUGCAUGGCUGUCGUCAGCUCGUGGCGUGAGCUGUACCGUUAAGUCGGGUAACGAGCGCAACCCGCACCGUAUGUUAGAUAAUUCAUGCGGAACAGCCCGGCUUUGCCGGGAGGAAGGCGCGGAUGACGUCAAGUCAGCACGGCUC